CCAGCUCUCUCACGCCUGCCCGCCUGCCCUCAACACACGUCCCUCGGAGAGCCCGGCGACCCCGCGGCUCUCGUAUCCCUCACCCCAUCACUCGGAACCCCGCCGACCCGCCAAAGUGUGGAGCUCUGGGCUUGCAGGGCAGCUGCCCGGGGACGCCUUCGCCUGAGUGACCCAGGAAACUGAGUUUAUCCGCUCCGCGCGCCGUGUGUGCCCUUGAGUCAGCGGCACUGCCGCUUCCACCAGGUGAGUGAUGAUAGAACACUGCAUCCUUCUACGUGGAAAGUGGUCAAGAGCAUGUACUUAUAUGUCAGACUGACCAUGAUUGACUACUAAUUGCAUGCAUGUGACAUUGGCUCCCCCUUAGUGAAUUUGCAGGCCGACCACAAGGGCAAGACAGUGUUUAGAGAAGAUCAGGGAAGUCAGCAGGCCUGCACGCCGUGGAAAAAUAAUGAAGAAUCUGACCUUCUGCCUUAAUGAUUAACUGAGAUGGCAGCCCGCUUUCCCUUUAGAAAUCGUCACAGCUGAGCAGAAUCUUCAGCAAGGUCUCUGCAUGUAAGUCUAUCACUUCCCCAGAUUGCCGGCUUUUCUGAAUAAAGUCCUUGCU